rnacentral:rRNA from 1 species
UACAGAGGGUGCGAGCGUUGUCCGGAUUUAUUGGGCGUAAAGCGUUUGUAGGCUGCUUAUCAAGUCUGAAGUGAAAGAAUGGGGCUCAACCCCAUCCCCGCUUUAGAAACUGGUAAGCUAGAGAGUAUUAGGGGUAAGUGGAAUUUCCAGUGUAGCGGUGAAAUGCGUAGAUAUUGGAAGGAACACCGGAGGCGAAGGCGACUUACUGGGAUACAUCUGACGCUGAGAAACGAAAGCUAGGGGAGCAAAAGGG